rnacentral:rRNA from 1 species
AGAGUUUGAUCAUGGCUCAGGAUGAACGUUGGCGGCGUGCCUAAUACAUGCAAGUCGAACGGUAGUUGAGCAUUCGUGCUUGAUGAGAGUGGCGAACGGGUGAGUAACACGUAACUGAUCUGCCCUUUAGACUGGGAUAACCUUUGGAAACAGAGGCUAAUACCGGAUGAGUUCGCGGUAGUUAGAGAGCCGUGAGGAAAGGCUAAUGCGCUAAGGGAUGAGGUUGCGGGCCAUCAGCUAGUUGGUGAGGUAAAGGCUCACCAAGGCGAUGACGGUUAGGGGAUCUGAGAGGGUGGCCCCCCACACUGGGACUGAGACACGGCCCAGACUCCUACGGGAGGCAGCAGUAAGGGAUAUUGCACAAUGGACGGAAGUCUGAUGCAGCGACGCCGCGUGGGUGAAGAAGGUUUUCGGAUCGUAAAGCCCUUUUCUAUGUGACGAGAGAGGACGGUAGCAUAGGAAUAAGUGUCGGCUAACUACGUGCCAGCAGCCGCGGUAAAACGUAGGACGCGAACGUUAUCCGGAGUUACUGGGCGUAAAGCGCGCGUAGGCGGUUGGUUAAGUUACCUAUGAAAGAUACAGGCUAAACUUGUAUUGGUUAGGUGAAACUGGCUAACUAGAGAGAAAUAGAGGGAAGUAGAAUUCCGGGU